rnacentral:rRNA from 1 species
AGAGUUUGAUCCUGGCUCAGAUUGAACGCUGGCGGCAUGCCUUACACAUGCAAGUCGAACGGUAACGGGCCUUCGGGCGCCGACGAGUGGCGAACGGGUGAGUAAUGCAUCGGAACGUACCUUUCAGUGGGGGAUAACGUAGCGAAAGUUACGCUAAUACCGUAUAUUCUGUGAGCAGGAAAGCAGGGGAUCGCAAGACCUUGCGCUGAUUGAGCGGCCGAUGUCAGAUUAGCUAGUUGGUGAGGUAAAGGCUCACCAAGGCGACGAUCUGUAGCGGGUCUGAGAGGAUGAUCCGCCACACUGGAACUGAGACACGGUCCAGACUCCUACGGGAGGCAGCAGUGGGGAAUUUUGGACAAUGGGGGCAACCCUGAUCCAGCCAUGCCGCGUGAGUGAAGAAGGCCUUCGGGUUGUAAAGCUCUUUCGGCCGGGAAGAAAUCGUAUGGGCUAAUACCCUGUGCGGAUGACGGUACCGGCAUAAGAAGCACCGGCUAACUACGUG